rnacentral:rRNA from 1 species
CAGUCGCCACGGUAAUACAGAGGGUGCGAGCGUUAAUCGGAUUUACUGGGCGUAAAGCGUGCGUAGGCGGCUUUUUAAGUCGGAUGUGAAAUCCCUGAGCUUAACUUAGGAAUUGCAUUCGAUACUGGGAAGCUAGAGUAUGGGAGAGGAUGGUAGAAUUCCAGGUGUAGCGGUGAAAUGCGUAGAGAUCUGAGGAAUACCGAUGGCGAAGGCAGCCAUCUGGCCUAAUACUGACGCUGAGGUACGAAAGCAUGGGGAGCAAACAGGAUUAGAUACCCGCGUAGUCCCUGUCUCUUAUACA